rnacentral:rRNA from 1 species
UACAGAGGGGGCAAGCGUUGUUCGGAAUUACUGGGCGUAAAGGGCGCGUAGGCGGCCUGCUAAGUCGAACGUGAAAUCCCCGAGCUCAACUCGGGAACUGCGUCCGAUACUGGCAGGCUUGAAUCCGGGAGAGGGAUGCGGAAUUCCAGGUGUAGCGGUGAAAUGCGUAGAUAUCUGGAGGAACACCGGUGGCGAAGGCGGCAUCCUGGACCGAUAUUGGCGCUGAGGCGCGAAAGCCAGGGGAGCAAACGGGG